CCUACGGGUGGCAGCAGUGAGGAAUAUUGGUCAAUGGGCGGAAGCCUGAACCAGCCAAGUCGCGUGAGGGAUUAAGGCCCUGCGGGUCGUAAACCUCUUUUGUCAGGGAACAAAGGCGGGGACGUGUCCCCGGAUGAGUGUACCUGAAGAAAAAGCAUCGGCUAACUCCGUGCCAGCAGCCGCGGUAAUACGGAGGAUGCGAGCGUUAUCCGGAUUUAUUGGGUUUAAAGGGUGCGCAGGCGGUCUGUUAAGUCAGCGGUCAAAGCCCGGGGCUCAACCCCGGCCCGCCGUUGAAACUGGCAGUCUCGAGUUGGAGAGAAGUAUGCGGAAUGCGCGGUGUAGCGGUGAAAUGCAUAGAUAUCGCGCAGAACUCCGAUUGCGAAGGCAGCAUGCCGGCUCCACACUGACGCUGAGGCACGAAAGCGUGGGUAUCGAACAGGAUUAGAUACCCCUGUAGUC
rnacentral:rRNA from 1 species